UACGUAGGUGGCAAGCGUUAUCCGGAAUUAUUGGGCGUAAAGCGCGCGCAGGUGGUUUCUUAAGUCUGAUGUGAAAGCCCACGGCUCAACCGUGGAGGGUCAUUGGAAACUGGGAGACUUGAGUGCAGAAGAGGAAAGUGGAAUUCCAUGUGUAGCGGUGAAAUGCGUAGAGAUAUGGAGGAACACCAGUGGCGAAGGCGACUUUCUGGUCUGUAACUGACACUGAGGCGCGAACGCGUGGGGAGCAAACAGG
rnacentral:rRNA from 1 species